rnacentral:lncRNA from 1 species
UAGUACCAUGUGGUUUUAUUUUUCUCUUUUUAUUAUCCAUUUCAUUAAUUUUUUUCGUUAAAUCAGUGACAAAAUUAAAAUUAAAAGGUACUAAAGUGAAUAUUCGAUAAACCUAGGUAGGGUAUCUAGAAUUUUUUGUAUAUAAUUUAACGAAAUAUUAAUGAAGGAAAAAAAAAUCAGUGGCAAAAUUAAAAUUAAAAGGUACUAAAGUAAAUAUUCGAUAACACUAUGACGUUUUUUGUAUAUAAUUUAAUAAAAUAUGAACAGAGGAGCCGACGAAAAGAGAAAAAUGAAACCAUAGAGUACUAAAUUGAUACACUUUAAACCACCGGAUACUAAAGUGAGAAAGUGCAAAACCACAGGGUACUAAAUUGAUUCACUUUAAACCACAUGAUACUAAAGUGAAAAAGUAUGAAACCACUGGGGUGGUAUUUGAAAGUUUUUUCUAAUAUAAAAUUAAUUUUUUUAUAUAUUAUAUAUAUUUUAAUUUGUAUUGAAAUUUAUACUAUUGUUAAUUAAAUUGUUAUAUAAAUUAUUAUAUUAUAAAUUACCAUAUAACAUAUUUUUAUAUAAAAUAUACUGAUAUAAAUUAAUUAUUUUAUUUUUAAAGUAUAUUUAGAUAUUAUUCUAGACUUUUUAUUCAAACAUUACUAAGGAUACUUUCUAAAGUAUUCUCCAAUGCAUCCAAAUAUAUAUAAAUUUAUAGUUGUUCUAAUUUGUAGCGAAAUAUUUUUUGUUCUUGAAAAUAAUAAAAAUUGUUCUCUAAAAUUUAGUUCUUAGUUACAAGUUUGGCGACGUUUGGUCUUCGAGAU